AGGGUGUUUAAUCACGGCUCGUAGGUUUACAUGUAGGCUUAAAAACAGUGGUAUUGAUAAGAUUAGUGGGGCAGUUAUUACAAUUGAUCUCGACACCAGUUUGGGAAGCUGGGCAAUGUAAGGAAUUACGACCAGAGAGUGGCUAUAAGAGGAGCGGCUAAAUCUAGUGCCAGCAGCCGCGGUUAAACUAGUGAGUUUUUGUGUGUGAGUUUUUUUACACUUACUGUACUCUAGUAAACUUAGUUGGGUUGGUAAGAGCAAUUAUGUUAGAAAGUGUCAGUUUUAUGCUGGUGAGCAGUAAAAUGCGUUAGCUGGUUUGUUAUCCCUUAACUUUUUGUGAUGUUUUUACGAAACCGUGAAGAGAAACCUGGAUUAGAUACCCAGUUAUCCGCGGCGCAAGAAAGAUUUACUAGAUUACUAUGAGUUUGUUCUUAAAAGUCAAAUGAUUUGGCGGACUUACACUUAAACGUACAGGGGAAUCUGGGCAUUAAAGGAUGAUCCGCCUACAUUUGUUCCUUAUCUUAACUUCUGCACAUGUAUGGCCGUUUAAUAACUAUUGUUCGCAAGAGAUGUGUUAAAAAGUUUAAGUCGAUAAAUAGCAUUAUAAGCUAAUUUUGUAGCUAUAAAUGCGUUUUAUCGUUGAGCAAGUAAUGCAGGUUGUCAUUUGGCUAUUGAAAAGGCUAGCCUGGAUUACAGUUGAAAGUGAACAAAGCGAAUUAAUUCUGAUAAAUCGGGGCAAUGAAGGUGGACUUGUAAGUAAAUUUGUUAAAUAAUGGCAAAUUGAACGAAGUGUAGUAGUACAAAUCGCCCGUCGCUCGCGGGGUGACCUGUGAUAAGUCGUAACAAGGUGACGGUACGGGAACGUGUCGUGAAAUAAAG
rnacentral:rRNA from 1 species